rnacentral:rRNA from 1 species
GACGAACGCUGGCGGCGUGCUUAACACAUGCAAGUCGAACGGAAAGGCCCUGCGCUUGCUGGGUUCUCGAGUGGCGAACGGGGGAGUAACACGUGAGUAACCUGCCCUUGACUUUGGGAUAACUCCAGGAAACUGGGGCUAAUACCGGAUAGGAGCUCCUGCUGCAUGGUGGGGGUUGGAAAGUUUCGGCGGUUGGGGAUAGAUUCGCGGCUUAUGAGCUAGUUGGUGGGGUAGUGGCUUACGAAGGGUUUGACGGAUAGCCGGCCUGGGAGGGUUGCCGGGCACCUUACGACUAAGGGACGCCGCAGACUCCAACGGUAGGCAACAGUGGGAAAUCUGACGGAACGACGGGGCGCCUGAUGCAGCAACCUCGGGUGCGUGAAGCCCGCUUUCGGGUUGUAAACCGCUUUCGCCUGUGCCAAGCCGUGAGUGACGGUACUGGGUAAAGAAGCACCGGCUAACUACGUG